GAUCAAGGUCUCACAAGACUGCAGUCUAGGUAUCAGGAAAUGCGGCCUCAUCAUAUGCUUGACUGGGUAUAAUAGGCUGCUGGGCUCCUUUGGGUUGUCAACAGAAUUUACCUCCUCAAAGCUGUAGAACUGAGAUCCCAUUGUUCUACUGUCUUUCAGCAUUUAGAGGUUUCCCACCACGCCCUGCCACACGACCCUAUCUGUCGAUGUGAACACAUAUGUUUCUUUGCCUCUUCAAGACUGGAAGGAAGCUCUUUCUCUUCAGUGUGCUAAGACAGAGUCCUACGUUACGAAACAUACUCAUGGGAAUUACAUGCCGUCAUUUUUGCCAUAUUCUUUGGAUUAGAAACAAAUCACAAGUCCCACUCAUACUCUGAGAGGAUUAUACAGGAAUAUGGGUCACUGGGAUGUAUCUUCCACAGACAGAAUUAUUCAACUCCCAAGGCCUUAAUGUAAAGCUUUCAACACUGACUUCUUGAGGUGUUCAAGUCAGACAUACCAAUAAUAAUAACAGCACCAUUUAUUGCAUCUUAAUGGAGGCCAGAUACUCAGCUCAGGAUUUUACAUAUGGUGUGCCAUUUAAUCCUCCAAACAACAUCAUCAACAACAUCAUCAACUCCAUUUUACAGGCUCAGGCUGGAGGAAAACCCAUCGCUUUAGGUGGGAGGUUGAAAAACACCAGGAAAGAACUGGAAUAACCUUGUAAGAAGAUUCUUGUACCAACGAGGCUCCCACACUCUUCUGAAGCAUAAUCUUAGAAGCAGGGUGCCUGAGUCAUGGGGAAGGAGCAUCGUCAAGUCUUCAGACAGUCACUAGACUUCCCUCCAAAGUGGUUCUACCGAUGGAUCCUCCCACCUGCAGAACUUUGAACUCUCCACAUAGGUGCCUACACUUGGUAUCAUCAGCCUUUAAAUUUUUUGCCAAGCAAAAUGAAAUGCUGUCUCC
ensembl:lncRNA